CGUACGUCCUUGCCCGUCACCCUCCAAAGGCUAUCCUUUAUGUUUCCCUCCAUCGAAUCCUAGCCGCGCUCUACCUUGGGCCUCUGCUAGGUCUUGCCUCACUCGAAGAAAGCGCAGAAAUCGAAAACGCGGGUGAGAGUUUGUCCUCUGCGGUUCCCGUGUACCCAGAUAUGGCGGCCGAAGCGGCGCCGCGGAGGUAGCUGUAGUUCCGGCGCCUUCACCGUGUGCCCGAGGAGGCUGCCUGGCUGGGCUCCAGCCUCCUGGCGGUUCUCCGCUCCGCAACCCCAGCAACUUCUUUGCACUGCAGAAUUUUGAAGCGCCAUUAGCUUUGAGGAGGGUUCAUGCUCAGUUGCCCAGGCAGGAGUGCAGUGGCGCGAUCAUACCUCACUGCAGCCUCAACCUCCUGGGCUCAUGUGAUCCUCCCGCCUCAGCGUCCCGAGUAUCUGGGACCACAGAUGCGCACCACCAAGCCCAGCUAAGGUUUCUAUUUUUUCUUUCUCUUUUUUUUUGGAGACACGGUCUAGUUCUGUUGCCAGGACUGGUCUGGAACUCCUGGGCUCCAGCGAUCCUCCAGUCUUGGUCUCCUGAAGUGCUAGGAUUACAGGUGUGAGCCACCGCGCCUGGUCUUUUUUUCUUUUGAGACAGUCUCGCCCUGUCGCCCAGGCUAGAGUGCAGGGGCACCAUCAUAGCUCGCCCCAGUCUUGAACCCCUGGUUCUAGCGAUCCUCCUGCUUCAGCCUCCUGGAGUGCUGGGAAUACAGGCGUGCACGCCCCUCUAAAUUUUUUUUGGUUUUUUUUGAGACGGAGUCUUGUUCUGUCGCCCAGGCUAGAGUGCAGUGGCGUGAUCUCAGCUCACUGCAACCUCCGCCUCCUGGGUUCAAGCGAUUCUCCUGUCUCAGCCUCCCGAGUAACUGGGAUUACAGGCGCCCACCACCAUGCGUGGCUUUUUUUUUUGAGACGGAGUCUCGCUCUAUCACCCAGGCUGGAGUGCAGUGGCACGAUCUUGGCUCACUGCCAGCUCCGCCUCCCGGGUUCCCGCCAUUCUUCUGCCUCAGCCUCCCGAGUAGCUGGGACUGCAGGCGCCUGCCACCACACCCGGCUAAUUUUUUGUAUUUUUAGUAGAGACGGGCUUUCACCGUAUUAGCCAGGAUGGUCUCGAUCUCCUAAUCUUGUUAUCCACCCGCCUUGGCCUCCCAAAGUGCUGGGAUUACAGGCGUGAGUCACCGCGCCCAGCCGCCCGGCUAAUUUUUGUAUUUUUGGUAGAGACGAGGUUUCUCCAUGUUGGCCAGGCUGCUCUCGAACUCCUACACUCAGGUGAUCCGCCUGCCUCGGCCUCCCAAAGUGCUAGGAUUACAGGUGUGAGUCACUGCGCCCAGCCUCCAGGCUGGUCUUGACCUUUUGGACUCAAGUGAUCCUCCCAUCUCCACCUCUGCAGUAACUGGGACUACAGGCGCUGCACCACCAGCCCUGCAGUCUUCUUUGUGUGUGUGUGUGUGUGUAGAAUUGGGGUUUCACUAUGUUGCUCAGGCUGGAGCUUGAGCUUAACAAGACAGCGGCCAUUCUGGGUGCUGCCUCAUCGACCAGCUAGCUAUGUGUGCCCGGCUGUUGUUUGAAACUUUGGGCCCAGCUAGUUUUUAGAAAAAAAGAAAAAAGUUUAAUAGCGAUAUAGAAAAUUGAGCACCUAUAAAACUAUAUGGUGGGCUCUGGGUUACAUUGAGCUUAAGUAGACCAAGUAUCUAUCCCACCUAAAUUAUCAGCAACUCCAGGCCAUGACCCAGUGUCCCAUUCUCCUUCACGGUUUGCUGGUGUGUAGCCUCCUGGAUACAGGCAAUGUAUAUAGAUCGCAGAGAAUGUCCGUUCUGGCCUCUUCCUUGGAAGGGUCUAAAAACAGACCUUAAGGAGCUAAGUGACUUCCCCAAAGCCCACAGCUCCAGUGCCACUGCUGACUUUUGGGUGGGGGUGGGAUCAGUUAAAGAGGAAAGCUUUCAGUACUGUCAGCACAUACACCUGCCAAUUAAGGGGCUGGAUAGAGUUCAUCUCUAGGAGCAGGACCUCCACCCCCACCCUCCACCCCAGAAGCCAUGUCAUGCUGUUUCACCAGGAUCUUGCCUGAGGUUAGAUGGGAGAGAACAGCUACAAGCUUGGGUGGAGUCACUCAUAAACACACCCUGAAAGCUGUGGAGCAGGGAGAGUGCAGGCUUUAGAGGGCUCUCCAUGAUCCCUUCCCCUCCUGGGGGCUCAAAGGCAAGGGUCAAAGAUCUUCUCGGUCAAGUUUGGGGUGGCUUCCUGUCUUGGUCAUCUUGUCUCCCCCUUCCUCUUCCUCCUCUUCCUCCUCCUCCUCCUGCUCUUCCUCCCCUUCUGUUUUCUCUUCCCCAUCUGUGAUCUCCUUUCCAGUCCAAGUUUCCUGUAGACAUGCUAGAUCGGAUGACAGAAAACAAUUUAGAUAUUAGUCCUGGAGGCAGGGGAGGCUAUGGCUUGGCAGGAGAGGAGUUCAACCCUUACGCUUACCAGUUUCAGCAGCUGGGAGCACAUGACCUUCACAGAGAAAAUUUUGUAGGGGCUGCUCCUGAUGGUGGAAGUACCAGUCUCCCACAAUGUCUUCAAACUCCUCCAACAUGGUCUCACACUGGUCAAGUAGAAGGGCCAGAAGAGUAUCUGCUCUGGAGGGAUUUGGGAUCCCGCCUGUCUUCUCUCCCUGCUCAACCUGACUGAUUUUGGAGAGGCAGGUAGCCAGGAAGCUAAGUUUGGCCUACUAGAUGUGCAAUCCUCAUUCAUUCAACAAACAUUUACCAGCACCUAUUCUGCCAAGUAGAUUAUUAAACUCUUGAGUCUCAGCUCCUUGCCUGUAAAAUAUGUAUGGUAAUUGCACCUACCACAUCAGGCUGUUAAGGGUAAAAUGAGGCUACAGAUGCAAAGUAUCUGGUCCAGAGUCUGGGACACAGUAGGUGCUCAAUAAGUGAUGGUGGAUAUCAUUAGCAACCAUUGUUACUUUUUUUUUUUUUUGAGAUGGAGUCUCGCUCUGUCACCCAGGCUGGACUGCAGUGGUGGGAUCUCAGCUCACUGCAACCUCCGCCUCCCGGGUUCAAGUGAUUCUCCUGCCUCAGCUUCCUGAGUAGCUGGGACUACAGAUGCAUGCCACCACACCACCACGCCCGGCUAAUUCUUGUAUUUUUAGUAGAGACAGGGUUUCACUAUGAUGGCCCGGCUGGUCUUGAACCCCUGAUGUCGUGAUCCGCCUGUCUCGCCCUCCCAAAGUGCUGGGAUUACAUACGUGAGCCAUCGCACCUGGCCCAUUAUUACUUUUUAAAAAUUUUCCUUAAGGCAGGGCCCAAUGGCUCAUGCCUGUAAUCCCAGCACUUUGGGAGGCCAAGGCGGGUGGAUCACCUGAGGUCAGGAGUUCGACCAGCCUGGCCAACAUGAUGAAACCCCGUCUCUACUAAAAUUACAAAAAAUUAGCUGGGCGUGGUGGCAGGGGCCUGUAAUCCCAGCUACUCGGGAGGCUGAAGCAGGAGAAUGGCUUGAACCCGGGAGGCGGAGGUCGCGGUGAGCCGAGAUGGUGCCGGUGCACUCCAGCCUGGGCAAUAAGAGUGAAACUCCGUCUUGAAAAAAAAAAUUCUUUAAAAUUAUUAUUAUUUGUAGAGAAGGGGGUCUCUUAUGUUGCACAAGCUGGUCUCUAACUCUGGUCUCAAACAGUCCUUCUCCCUCAGACUCACUAAGUGCUAGCAUUACAGUUGUGAGCCACUCCACCCGGCUCAUUAUGAUUUCUUUUUUUUUGUUUUUGUUUUUGUUUUUUUUUUUAAGAUGGAGUCUUGCUCUGUCGCCCUGGCUGGAGUGCAAUGGUGCGAUCUUGGCUCAUGGCAACCUCCACCUCCUGGAUUCAAGCAAUUCUCUUGCCUCAGCCUCCCAAGUAGCUGGGAUCACAGGCGUGCACCACCACGCCCAGCUAACUUUUGUGUUUUUAUUAAAGACGGGGUUUUGCCUUGUUGGCCAGGCUGGUCUCGAACUUAUGACCUCAGGUGAUCCACCUGCCUCAGCCUCCCAAAUUGCUGGGAUUACAGGUGUGAGCCACCGCACCCCACCGCUCCUGGACCCACUUUAAUCAAUGGCACAGUCCUCACUCUGGCCCCUUCCCCAUGCUUAGGGGUAGACAUCCCCUAUAGUCAAACCCUAGAACCUAGCUCCCCUCUCAGGUUCCCUUCUCACCUCCCUGGAUGGUGCAGUGUCUUAUCCUACCUGCUUCUUGAGGUAUGUGACCUCCACGCUGGGCUCAUCCCAAAGCUCCAGAGGGAUCCCCAGAUCCACCUUCACCCCCUUCUGCACUAGGCCUUUCAGUGUUGCCAUGGUCUGACUCUGACCCUGAGAGAUUAAGAAUUUGGCAUCAGCCCAGCUCACCACCCCACCCCUCCCUUCCCCUUUCUGCCAUUUCAGUUUUGUCAACUACUGGAGAUUCAAGGGUGAGUUCCAUGAUGGUGAGAUGAUGGGCAGAUAACCUCUGGAGGGCCUCAGGGGAUACAGAUCUUUGUAUCUGAGAAGUGGGGUCCUGCCCUGGGGAAGGGUCUGACCUUGGCAUAUCUCAGUGAGCCCUUGCGCUCAGCGUGAACACUAUAGUCCAGGAUCCGCUCACAUAAAUUCUCUAAGGCCUCUUCCAGCCUUGUCUCUCUGUGGAAAGAGAGGAAACAAAGAUUCCCUGGAUGCUGUAGGAACUCCCAGGGCUCCGUUGGGGGUUGGAAAGGGGAGGAGCACGAAGGACUCACGAAACGCUGUAAGGCACGUGUCUCUUCCUCUUGCCUGUAUCCAGCACCUGCCCCAGCUCCAGCACCUCUCGAGAUCGACCGGUGCGACUCAGUUCCGCCUGUAGCUCUGUGCUCAGCAGCUUACACACUGGUGGGGAGGAGAAACGUCCGGGGGGAGGUAAAAGACAAACACACCAGCCAUUCAUUCUGCAGAUGACCUGAGGCAGCAGAGCAUACAAGUGCAGACUAUGGAGCCAGACUGGCUGGGUUGGAAUCCUGGCUCAGCCAUUUAGCAGCUGUGUGGCAAUCUUCCUGCUUGCUGUGCCUCGGUUUCUUCAUCUUUUUUUUUUUUUUUUUCAGACGGACUCUCGCUCUGUCGCCCAGGCUGUAGUGCAGUGGCGCAGUCUCGGCUCACUGCCAGCUCCGCCUCCUGGGUUCACGCCAUUCUCCUGCCUCAGUCUCCCGAGUAGCUGGGACUACAGGCACCCACCACCACGCCCGGCUAAUUUUUUGUAUUUUUAGUAGAGACAGGGUUUCACCGUGUUAGCCAGGAUGGUCUCGAUCAGCUGACCUUGUGAUCCGCCCGCCUUGGCCUCCCAAAGUACUGGGAUUACAGGCGUGAGCCACCACGCCCGGCCGGUUUCUUCAUCUUUAUAAUGGGAUAAUAGGCCAGGAGUGGUGGCUCACACCUGUAAUCCCAGCACUUUGGGAGGCUGAGGCGGGCAGAUCACUUGAGGAGUUCAAGACCAGCCUGGCCCACAUGGUGAAACCCCAUCUCUAUUAAAAAUACAAAAACUAGCCAGGUGUGGUGGUGCGCACCUGUAAUAGCUACUCGGGAAGCUGAGGCAGGAGAAUCACUCGAACCCAGGAGGUGGAGGUUGCAGUGAGCUGAGAUCCCACCACUGCACCCCAGCCCAGGCAACAAAGGGAGACUCCAUCUUAAAAAAAGUAAAAUACAUUAAAAAUAAAUAGGCCAGCACAGUGACUCAUGCCUGUAAUCCCAACACUUUGGGAGGCUGAGGUGGGUGGAUCACGAGGUCAAGAGAUUGAGACCAUCCUGGCCAACAUAGUGAAACCUUGUCUCUACUAAAAAUACAAAAAUUAGCUGGGCAUGGUGGCGGGCGCCUGUAAUCCCAGCUACUUGGGAGGCUGAGGCAGGAGAAUCGCUUGAACCCGGGAGGC
rnacentral:lncRNA from 1 species